rnacentral:lncRNA from 10 species
CUUGGCAAUGCAGGCUCUUUUUUGGUUCCAUAUGAACCUUAAAGUCAUUUUUUCCAAUUCUGUGAGGAAAGUCAUUGGUAGCUUGAUGGGGUUGGCAUUGAAUCUACAAAUUACCUUGGGCAGUAUGGCCAUUUUCACAAUAUUCAUUCUUCCUAUCCAUGAGCAUGGAAUGUUCUUCCGUUUGUUGGUGUCCUCUUUUAUUUUGUUGAGCAGUGGUUUGUAGUUCUCCUUGAAGAGGUCUUUCACAUCCCUUGUAAGGUGGAUUCCUAGGUAUUUUAUUGUCUUUGAAGCAAUUGUGAAUGGGAGUUCACUCAUGAUUUGGCUCUCUGUUAUUGCUGUAUAAGAGUGCUUGUGAUUUUUGCACAUUGAUUUUGUAUCCUGAGUUGCUUAUCAGCUUAAGGAGAUUUUGGGCUGAGACAAUGGGGUUUUCUAAAUAUACAAUCAUGUCAUCUGCAAACAAGGACAAUUUGACUUCCUCUUUUCCUAGUUGAAUACCCUUCUUUCUCCUGCCUGCUGAACCAAAUCCAGCAGCACAUCAAAAAGCUUAUCCAC